CGCGUAGGCGGUCGGUCAAGUCGGUUGUGAAAGCCCUCGGCUCAACCGAGGAACUGCAUCCGAUACUGGCUGGCUAGAGUAUGGUAGGGGAGAGUGGAACUCCUGGUGGAGCGGUGAAAUGCGUAGAUAUCAGGAGGAACGCCGGUGGCGAAAGCGACUCUCUGGACCACAACUGACGCUGAGGCGCGAAAGCUAGGGGAGCGAACG
rnacentral:rRNA from 1 species